rnacentral:lncRNA from 1 species
CCGGAAACCAAGCCUCCUUUCUGUUCCCUUUCCAAGCAAAGGUCUUGUCCCAGGAAAACUAAAAAUUCUGCUAAAUUGCCCUCCAUUUAAACUGGAAUGUCCCAGUUCGCCUUUACCCACAAACAAGGACUGCAGGUUUGCGAGGGGAGUCCUACAGGGUCACCCAACCAAAGUCUGAUCGAUCAGUUGGCCUUCCUCCCCACCCUAGGAUGAGCGGAGACCUUAGUCUCCCGACACCUGGGUUAAAUGGGGGUGGGAGACGUUUCACGGUUUGUUUUACAAAUUCGCCCCCGACGUCUGCCACGAUAAGUCCCCAGGAUAGAGCAGGAGCGGAGGCACCCAGAGAUAAGUGUGAUGCCUGAGGAAGAUACGAGGCUGGUGCACCUCCCCCGAGCAGCUCUCCAAGCCCAGAGCGGCAGCUCCCUACCGAGCUGGCCCGGAGGUGAGGGCAAAGGCUCUCAGGAGACAGGCCCGCAGUUCCAGGCGCUCACUUGUUUCAGCUGCUUCGUUCUCUCUACACCCACACCCCCAUCCGGGUGGAACACUGGUGUCGUCAUCCGAAUGGAAGAGGAGCUGGGCUCAAAAGGCACUCGACCUGUGAAAACCACGCCUAUGCAGCCACACAAUUGGUCCGAAAGCGUCAAAGAGCCAAUCAACAAGCCUCGGGCUCCCGCAGCCCACAGUGCAGCCCGACCGUCCAGAGCCGCCGAGCAGACGCCCGGGGAAUUCUAGAGGCGGAGGAGGGUGGCGAGGUGCUCGCUCGCUCUCUUUCUCUCUUUCUCUCUCUCUCUCUCCCUCCCUCUACUUGCCUACUCCAGCUCCCAAUCACCCCUUUCCCUUCCUUCUUUCCUUUUUUUUUUUUUGCACCCGUCUUCUUGAUCCUCCCUCGCCCUGCGUGCCCGGACGCUGAUUUUUUUUUUUUAAUUUAUUAUUUUUAGGAAAGCGAUUUCGCUCACGUUUUUUUAGCACAAGGAAGACAGCCGGGUCCCCGAGGCAGAAGAUCGCAGGCACCAUUCGCUCGCCACCCAGACUCUGCGCGCAGCCCGGAGCCAGAGAGGAGGAUCGCGAACCGAAGCCAGCUUCGCAGUUCUAGUUUUGAAAGCGCCGCUGGAAAGGGGCUUAAAUCGCUUUUUUUUUUUUUUAAAGGAGAGACUUUUCCUCCCCCCCUUGAUCUCGCUGCCUGUGAAAGCCAGAGUCUAGCUCAACUAAGACGCCUCCUGCGAGAAAGCCAGAGAAGAGCUAGGGGGCGGGGGAAGGAGUCGAAAAAAAGGUUAAAAAAAAAAGUCUCCGAGAACCUUGCGCUUUGGCAACAAAGAGCGUGGGAGCCGGGGAGCCACCCCGGGAAAGGGCUGCAGUGUCUAUUUCCAGCUAAGCCACAGGGCUUGGGCGCCAGUCGAGCCCCUGCUUGCUGCUUGCCCUACUGAAACCGACUUCCAGGAGCGGCUUUUCCAACACACUCCACGCACCAGGACAGCCCCUGCAGCGGCUAUGUCUCCCGAUCUGCUGCCGCCUUGUCCUCUUUAAAAGCGGCGUUCUCUUCCCCCCAAAGACACUUUCCCCCUCCCUUUCAAACGCUUUAUUUGUAAUUUGCCCUCUUUUUUAUUUUAAACAAAACUAUGCGUCGCUGUUGAAUUUUUUUAAUUAUUAUUUUUGAAAAGCAACAACAAAAGCGGAGCCAAGCCAGCAGCUGCGGAC